rnacentral:lncRNA from 1 species
CAUCUUCCCACCCCUCCCCUGCAGGAAGCGGGCAGCAGGUCACCCCAGCCAGGUUCCCCCCGGCCCAAGUGAAGCCGGAACCCGGUGAGAGCACCGGCGCCCCAGGCCCCCACGAAGCCUCCCAGGACCGCAGUCUAGACCUGACUGUGAAGGAGCCCAGCAACGAAUCAAAUGGCCACGCAGUCCCGGCAAAUUCAUCUCUUUUAUCCUCGCUUAUGAAUAAGGUAAGAGCCAUCCAUCACACGCCUCCCGUUCCCCCACCCAGAGAAAUUAAAGCUGUGCUGGGGGGUGGGGGGAUGUGUUUGUUUUUUAAUGUUUUGCCUCUAAUAAGAUGAGUUUGUACCAUUUAAAUUUUGAGGCCAUUUUUCAUCGGAUAUAAUUUCAGAGCCACUGCUUACAAAUUAAUUUAAUGAACUGGCUGAAGAAAUAUAU